rnacentral:lncRNA from 10 species
GUGAUCCUGUUGAGGCUGGCCAAUGGGAUGCACUGAUUCUGUUGAGGCAGGCCAGUGGGAGACACUGAUCCUGUUGAGGUCGGUCAAUGGGAUGCACUGAUCAUAUUGAGGCUGGCCAAUAGCUGCACUGAUCCUGUUGAGGUCAGCCAAUGGGAUGCAUUGAUCCUGUUAAGGCUGGCCAGUGGAAUGCACUGAUCCUGUUGAGGCUGGCUAAUGGGAUGCACUAAUCCUGUUGAGGCUGGCUAGUGGGAUGCACUGAUCCUGUUGAGGCUGGCCAAUGGGAAUCACUGAUCCUGUUGAGGCUGGCCAGUGGGAUGCACUGAUCCUGUUGAGGCUGGCCAGUGGGAUGCAUUGAUCCUGUUAAGGCUGGCCAAUGGGAAUCACUGAUCCUGUUGAGGCUGGACAUUGGGAUGCACUGAUCCUGUUGAGGCUGGCCAGUGGGAUGCACUGAUCCUGUUGGGGCUGGCCAGUGGGAUGCACUGAUCCUGUUGGGGCUGGCCAGUGGGAUGCACUGAUCCUGUUGAGGCUGGCCAGUGGGAUGCAUUGAUCCUGUUGAGGCUGGCCAAUGGGAAUCACUGAUCCUGUUGAGGCUGGACAUUGGGAUGCACUGAUCCUGUUGAGGCUGGCCAGUGGGAUGCACUGAUCCUGUUGGGGCUGGCCAGUGGGAUGCACUGAUCCUGUUGGGGCUGGCCAGUGGGAUGCACUGAUCCUGUUGAGGCUGGCCAAUGAGAAGCACUGAUCCUGUUGAGACUAGCUAAUGGCAGCACUGAGUCAGAGACUGGAAGGCGGGAGGAAGAGAGGUGAGGGUAUUUCUUCCUCUGCUCUCUCUGCACCUGGGUUUCCCACAGUAGCCCUGUGUCUCCAGGAUGCUUCUCCUAGGAUGCUCUUACUAAGGUCAUG